AUGCCUCCUAGAGCUAGAAGAAGCUUAGAACUCAUACCAAAUGAGAUUGCUCGUAAGAAGACCUUUCAGAAGCGAAAGAAAAGUAUAUAUAAAAAGGCGGACGAGCUUUCAAAACUCUGUGAUAUUGAUGUUUGCUUGAUCAUCUAUGAAGCUGAUCAAAAGAAAGGGAGGGCAAUUCAAUCAGAGAUGUAGCCUCAAGAUUCAGCUGAAUUCAAUCGCAUUUUUAACAAAUAUAAAGCUUCUAAGGAUAUUCAUGUCCCUGGUUUAAAGCAAAACUUCGUUUUGUCUGAUUUUUACAACGCAGUCAAGAAAGAAGACGUGGAUCGAAAGUUUGAAAAAUUGUACCCAACAUGGGAUGAUCGAAUCGACAAGUUUUCG
rnacentral:lncRNA from 1 species